CAGCCGCCGCGGGAAUACGUAGGGUGCAAGCGUUAAUCGGAAUUACUGGGCGUAAAGCGUGCGCAGGCGGUUAUAUAAGACAGAUGUGAAAUCCCUGGGCUUAACCUGGGAACUGCAUUUGUGACUGUAUAGCUAGAGUACGGCAGAGGGGGAUGGAAUUCCGCGUGUAGCAGUGAAAUGCGUAGAUAUGCGGAGGAACACCGAUGGCGAAGGCAAUCCCCUGGGCCUGUACUGACGCUCAUGCACGAAAGCGUGGGGAGCAAACAGGAUUAGAUACCCGUGUAGUCCCUGUCUCUUAUAU
rnacentral:rRNA from 1 species